rnacentral:rRNA from 1 species
UACGGAGGGGGCUAGCGUUGUUCGGAAUCACUGGGCGUAAAGGGUGCGUAGGCGGGUCUUUAAGUCAGGGGUGAAAUCCUGGAGCUCAACUCCAGAACUGCCUUUGAUACUGAAGAUCUUGAGUUCGGGAGAGGUGAGUGGAACUGCGAGUGUAGAGGUGUAAUUCGUAGAUAUUCGCAAGAACACCAGUGGCGAAGGCGGCUCACUGGCCCGAUACUGACGCUGAUGCACGAAAGCGUGGGGAGCAAACAGG